AUUGAACGCUGGCGGAAUGCUUUACACAUGUAAGUCGAACGGCAGCACGGGGCAACCUGGUGGCGAGUGGCGAACGGGUGAGUAAUACAUCGGAACGUGCCCAAUCGUGGGGGAUAACGUAGCGAAAGUUACGCUAAUACCGCAUACGAUCUACGGAUGAAAGCGGGGGAUCGCAAGACCUCGCGCGAAUGGAGCGGCCGAUGUCAGAUUAGGUAGUUGGUGGGGUAAAGGCUCACCAAGCCAACGAUCUGUAGCUGGUCUGAGAGGACGACCAGCCACACUGGGACUGAGACACGGCCCAGACUCCUACGGGAGGCAGCAGGGGGGAAUUUUGGACAAUGGGCGCAAGCCUGAUCCAGCCAUUCCGCGUGCAGGAUGAAGGCCUUCGGGUUGUAAACUGCUUUUGUACGGAACGAAACGGUUCUCUCUAAUACAGGGGGCUAAUGACGGUACCGUAAGAAUAAGCACCGGCUAACUACGUGCCAGCCGCCGCGGUAAUAC
rnacentral:rRNA from 1 species